UACAGGGGGUGCAAGCGUUGCUCGGAAUCACUGGGCGUAAAGCGAACGCAGGCGGGUCAUCAAGUCAGGGGUGAAAGCCCGAGGCUCAACCUCGGAACUGCCUUUGAAACUGGUGGCCUUGAGUACGGGAGAGGUGAGUGGAAUUCCUGGUGUAGAGGUGAAAUUCGUAGAUAUCAGGAGGAACACCGGUGGCGAAAGCGGCUCACUGGCCCGAUACUGACGCUCAUGUUCGAAAGCGUGGGGAGCAAACAGG
rnacentral:rRNA from 1 species